rnacentral:lncRNA from 1 species
CCCCAAACCCUAAUCUCUCGAAUAUGUGAUUGAUUGUAGUAUCACUAUAGUGAGAGACCGACUAAUUAAGUUAUAUACGUAAUUACAUUCGUUAUGGUAAAAGCCACAUUUGGGAGAUACAUACUACGUACUUCAAAUAUAUGCUACCUAUAGUGGGAUGAAUUUCGCACCACCCUGUAUCCGAAAUUCCACACAGCCAUUCGUCUGCCAACAGAAACUAGGCAUUUAGGGCUUUUGGAGAGUAAACAGUUUCUUACUACUACAGAGUACCAGCGUACUACGGAGUAUGCUAGAUAUUAGCAAGGCGGUGAGCCUUCGGGUAGUAGUUGUCGGAUAAGGGGGGGGGGGUGCGAACACAUUUUUCGUGGUACUGCACAAUGGGAAUAGGUACCUAUACGAAGCGACCUUUUAUGGACUUGUACAUACUUCGUAUUUCUGCCUCAGUGAUCGGCCGACCACUAACAACAACAACAACAACCCAAUUCUCAGGCAAUAUAAAGGGUCUAUGUAACGGAAUUCACAUGGUAUCUCGAACUUUAAUUGAUAUAGAGAAUGACCUCGAGGAGUCGAGGCUCGAAGAAUAAAAAAAAUGCUCACGGUCCUCCAAGCCCACUUCUCUGGCAUGCAAUUGAUUGGUAGCCUUGUAUAUGUUUCACAGUCAUCUGGUGGCGAUGAGAUCGACGCUAGGAUGAGAGUAUAUCCAUCCAUCCCUCCAUCCAUUCAUCCAUGGCCCAUGGAAGCAUGACAGACAAUACGUGCUCUCUCUUAUCAUAAAGAAUGUACGUAAAGAAACUAAGGAACUUUGAAUUUCUCCCUGAGAAAAACCCAUUGGAUAUCAUCCCUCAAUAAACAUUCCUUGACUGAUCCCGUGGUUUUCCAACUCGAAGUAUGUUACUAAAGUAGCUGAACCAUACUACGUAGUAGACUCAAGGAGCUGAAACUACUACGUACUAACUUUCUGGGAGACUGUGUCCCGAGAUCCUGAUUUCUUGCAUAUCUAGUCCCUCUUUAGUACAGUCGCUUGGGAACGAUGACUAUAUAGUACAUAACUUAAGUUACCCUAAAAGCAUUUAGAUCGAUAUCCAGCUCGUUAGCACUAGUUAGUAGGACUUUAGUUCAAAUAACUCACGGAGGAAAGAUCCUCCUCUACCUGCUCAGUUGCGUCAUUAUUUACAGUAGUGGACUGAACUAGUCAUAAACUAAAAAUAUUGGGAUGGAUUCGUGCCAACAGGACGGCACGUACAUGUAUUAGAUUACGAAGUUUGCGUCCUAAUUUCUUGACUAUCUAUCCAGUGAUCAUACCAUACCUCAAAGAGAGGUAAUAGUUGGUUUCCCAGCUUCUAUGAGCUGUAAUAUCCAGGUAACUAUUAUUUCAUUGCUGAUACCUCCCUGUUACAUAUCAUGUCUAGAAUACGAAAAUGUACGGCACUAGACACCGUUUUAGUCUGUCCAGGCAGAAAAUGUGAUGUAUCACAUUUCGAUAUCGUGGAUUAAGAGAGUCUGGACUGUUCGAAGACGAUACAAUAGACCAGACUGUUCGGCUAGAUAAGUCGAUCGAUCCAUUUCUCAAUUACGCCUCCUAUAUCAAUCUAUAUAUUAUGUAGAUUGAUCUUCAUAACACUGCAGUAUGCGGUGAAGCAGAAUGUGAUGACGACCGUUCAUCAUCUGAAGCGAGAUUCCAGGACAGUCGCUUAGUUGGUUCUCUGUCGGACUGAUAGAUAGAAUGAUCGUUGCUCGGUUGGACGCAACUUGAAAGCAAGACUGCCGUUUUCUGACUUUUGCAUAUGAGAUAUCUAAGUAUAUAUGCCCUUGUACGUACUUGUGUAACUGAGUGCAUGACUCAUAAUACAGAUCUGGAAGGAUAACGGAUAC